CCUGGCGGCUAGAGCGCGGUGGUNAGAAGUGAAACGCCGUAGCGCCGAUGGUAGUGUGGGGUCUCCCCAUGCGAGAGUAGGGAACUGCCAGGC
rnacentral:rRNA from 1 species